rnacentral:snRNA from 1 species
AUGCUUGAUUUGGCAGCAUGUAUAAUAAAAUUGGAACGAUACAGAGAUUGCACUGCACAAGGAUGAUGUGCAAAUUCAAUAAGUGUUCCACAUUUUG